GGCCUGAUAGUCUAGUGGUUACGAUUCUCGCUUUGGGUGCGAGAGGUCCCGGGUUCGAAUCCCGGUCAGGCCC